rnacentral:rRNA from 1 species
AGUGAACGCUGGCGGUAGACCUAACACAUGCAAGUCGAGCGGCAGCACAGUAAGAGCUUGCUCUUACGGGUGGCGAGUGGCGGACGGGUGAGGAAUACAUCGGAAUCUACUUUUUCGUGGGGGAUAACGUAGGGAAACUUACGCUAAUACCGCAUACGAUCUACGGGUGAAAGCAGGGGAUCUUCGGACCUUGCGCGAUUGAAUGAGCCGAUGUCGGAUUAGCUAGUUGGCGGGGUAAAGGCCCACCAAGGCGACGAUCCGUAGCUGGUCUGAGAGGAUGAUCAGCCACACUGGAACUGAGACACGGUCCAGACUCCUACGGGAGGCAGCAGUGGGGAAUAUUGGACAAUGGGCGCAAGCCUGAUCCAGCCAUACCGCGUGGGUGAAGAAGGCCUUCGGGUUGUAAAGCCCUUUUGUUGGGAAAGAAAAGCAGCAGGUUAAUACCCCGCUGUUCUGACGGUACCCAAAGAAUAAGCACCGGCUAACUUCGUG